GAUGAACGCUGGCGGCGUGCCUAAUACAUGCAAGUCGAGCGAACAGACGAGGAGCUUGCUCCUCUGACGUUAGCGGCGGACGGGUGAGUAACACGUGGAUAACCUACCUAUAAGACUGGGAUAACGUCGGGAAACCGGAGCUAAUACCGGAUAACAUGUUGAACCGAAUGGUUCAAGAGGGAAAGACGGUCUUGCUGACACUUAUAGAAGGAGCCGCGCCGGAUUAGCUAGUUGGUAAGGGAACGGCUUACCAAGGCAACGAUGCGUAGCCGACCUGAGAGGGUGAUCGGCCACACUGGAACUGAGACACGGUCCAGACUCCUACGGGAGGCAGCAGUAGGAAAUCUUCCGCAAUGGGCGAAAGCCUGACGGAGCAACGCCGCGUGAGUGAAGAAGGUCUUCGGAUCGUAAAACUCUGUUAUUAGGGAAGAACAAAUGUGUAAGUAACUAUGCACGUCUUGACGGUACCUAAUCAGAAAGCCACGGCUAACUACGUG
rnacentral:rRNA from 1 species